UACGUAGGGUGCGAGCGUUAUUCGGAAUUACUGGGCGUAAAGCGUGCGUAGGCGGUUCGUUAUGUCUGCUGUGAAAUCCCCGGGCUCAACCUGGGAAUGGCAGUGGAAACUGGCGGGCUUGAGUGUGGCAGAGGGGGGUGGAAUUCCGCGUGUAGCAGUGAAAUGCGUAGAGAUGCGGAGGAACACCGAUGGCGAAGGCAGCCCCCUGGGCUAACACUGACGCUCAGGCACGAAAGCGUGGGGAGCAAACAGG
rnacentral:rRNA from 1 species